AGAACGAACGCUGGCGGCAUGCCUAAUACAUGCAAGUCGAACGAACACUUCGGUGUUAGUGGCGCACGGGUGCGUAACGCGUGGGAAUCUGCCCUUGGGUUCGGAAUAACAGUUGGAAACGACUGCUAAUACCGGAUGAUGACGAAAGUCCAAAGAUUUAUCGCCCAGGGAUGAGCCCGCGUAGGAUUAGCUAGUUGGUGAGGUAAAGGCUCACCAA
rnacentral:rRNA from 1 species